UACGGGGGAGCAAGCGUUGUUCGGAUUUACUGGCGUAAAGGGCGCGUAGGCGGCCACCGCAAGUCGACUGUGAAAUCUCCGGCUUAACUCGGAAAGGUCAGCCGAUACUGCGGGCUAGAGUGCAGAAGGGGCAACUGGAAUUCUCGGUGUAGCGGUGAAAUGCGUAGAUAUCGAGAGGAACACCUGCGGCGAAGGCGGGUUGCUGGGCUGACACUGACGCUGAUUGUGCGAAAGCUGGGGGAGCGAACGGG
rnacentral:rRNA from 1 species